UCUCAAAAUAGUAAAUUUUUAUAAUAUAAAAAUUUCACCCACCCACUACUUCUAUCUACUUUUUCAAAUCUAUCAAUUAAAUAUGCAUGAGUCCCACCACUUUACCUACUUUUCUUUCUCUUUCUCAUUACUUUACACUACUUUAUACAUUUUUCUUAGUUUCCGUGUCCAUUCCAAACGUAUACAUCCCAGAAGGACGGAGGAAAUAACACUUUAUCAGUAUGAAACUGUGCCGGA
rnacentral:lncRNA from 1 species